AGAAACUCUGGAGAAUCUUCCGUUUUAAGGAAGUGCCGAAGGUGCAAAGGGUUUGACUUCUAUCCCCUAAUCUCUCAGGCAAAAGGACAGGGC
rnacentral:ncRNA from 1 species